rnacentral:rRNA from 1 species
UACAGAGGGUGCAAGCGUUAAUCGGAAUUACUGGGCGUAAAGCGCACGUAGGCGGCUUUCUAAGUCGGGGGUGAAAUCCUGGAGCUCAACUCCAGAACUGCCUUUGAUACUGGAGAGCUUGAGUCCGGGAGAGGUGAGUGGAACUCCGAGUGUAGAGGUGAAAUUCGUAGAUAUUCGGAAGAACACCAGUGGCGAAGGCGGCUCACUGGCCCGGUACUGACGCUGAUGUGCGAAAGCGUGGGGGGCAAACAGG